CAUCAGCAGUAACACUUCACAAAAUUCAUCAUCAUCAGGAUCAUUGGUGUCCAGUUGUGUGUUUCUGUGUUCAGUGGUGAAUGUGAGUGCUGUGACUCUCUCCUGGUACAAAGGAAACAGUUUAUUGUCCAGCAUCAGUGUGUCUGAUCUCAGCAGAAGUCUUUCUUUACAUCUGGAGUGUCUGGAUGAUUUCUACAGCUGUGUGGUGAACAAUCCCAUCAGAAACCAGACCACACAUCUCAACACUGAACUCUGUCAGACAUGUUCAGUUCAGACCGGUGAUAGAGAGAUCACUUACGCUGAUCCGACAUUUUACAAAAGACAUGAAUCGAGAGCUACAGAGCAGGACAAUGUGGUGUACGCAGGAGUUGCAAGAC